rnacentral:rRNA from 1 species
CCCUUAGAUGUUCUGGGCCGCACGCGCGCUACACUGAUGCAUUCAACGAGCCUAGCCUUGACCGAGAGGUCCGGGUAAUCUUUGAAACUGCAUCGUGAUGGGGCUAGAUUAUUGCAAUUAUUAAUCUUCAACGAGGAAUGCCUAGUAAGCGUGAUUCAUCAAAUCGCGUUGAUUACGUCCCUGCCCUUUGUACACACCGCCCGUCGCUGCCCGGAACUGAGCCGUUUCGAGAAGACUGAGGAUUGCUGACUUGAGGCCUUCACGGGCUUCUAGUCGGUGAAAAUCAAUUUAAUCGCAGCGGCUUGAACCGGGCAAAAGUCGUAACA